rnacentral:lncRNA from 1 species
UGUGGCGGAACCGCCCAACUUAAGCUGGUUUAAGUGCGCCUAAUUGCUGUCGGAACAGCAAUUAUCCGAAACGCACCUAAAACAGCGUAAGUCCGGUAGUCCGUCGAGUGUCCCUAGGACUCCUCGAAGGAUCCACGACGUGUCUCAUAGCCAUACAUCAGGAUAAUAUCCGCGAUGGGAUAAUAUCAACAAAUAUUACAUUUUUACAUACAUAAUUAAGAGGUACGAGUUAUUACA